rnacentral:rRNA from 1 species
UACGGAGGGUGCGAGCGUUGUCCGGAAUCAUUGGGCGUAAAGGGCGCGUAGGUGGCCCGGUCAGUUCGUGGUGAAAGCGCGGGGCUCAACCCUGCGUCGGCCAUGAAUACUGCCGCGGCUGGAGCACUGUAGAGGCAGGCGGAAUUCCGGGUGUAGCGGUGGAAUGCGUAGAGAUCCGGAAGAACACCGGUGGCGAAGGCGGGUCUCUGGGCAAUUCCUGACGCUGAGGCGCGAAAGCGUGGGGAGCAAACGGG